rnacentral:lncRNA from 1 species
UCACUUAUACCCCUUCCUAGUCUCCUUCACAUUCAUGGACUCUGCUUUCAUCAACUAUUAUUGUAUGCAUAUAUGUAUUUGUCUACACAUGUAUAUUUCUAAAUACAACCUGUUGUGUCUGUAUAAUAUCACUUGUUAUGAAAAAGCUGUUGUAUAACUUGGGGUUACAUAACGGACUAGAAAAAGUGUUCUGUGUGCUUAGGAUCACUUUGGCUAUUCUUGGUUCUGUUUGUUUCCGUAUGAAUUCUUGUUUUUGUUUUUCUAGUUCUUUGAAGACUGAUAUAGAAAUUUUGAUGGUAACUUUGUUGGCUUUGUUAAUUACUUUUGCUAGUUAACUAUUUUCACAAUAUUAAUUCAGCUGAUCCAGGAGCAUGGAAAGCUACUCCAUCAUCUAGUAUCUUCUUUGGUUUCUUCUCUCAAUGCCUUAAAGAUUUUGUUGUAGAAGUCUCUUUUUCCCUUGCUUAGGUUUAUUCUUAGAGACUUUUCUGAUUUGUUUUGUUAACCUGAUAGAAUCCAAAGUCACCUGGGAAGAAGGAACCUCAACUGAAGAACUGCCUUGAUCGGAAUGGCCUGAGUCUAUCUAGUCUUUGACAGACCGUCUUGAUUGAUGGUUGAUGUGGGAGGGCUUAGCCCACAGUGGUUAACACUAUCCUUAGCCAGGUAGACUUUGUCUGCAUAUGAAAGCUAGCUCUGAGUGUGAGCCAAAAAGUGAGCUAGUAAUCUGGAUUCCUCCAUAGUUUCUUCUUAAAUUUCUUCCUGAGUUCCUGACCUGAGUUCCCUCAGUGAUGAACUAUGAUUGGGAAAUAUAAGCUGAAAUAAACCCUUCCCACCUCUACAUCACUUUGGCUAAGGAGUCCAUCACAGCACCAGAAAAGGAAACUAGAACGGUACUUUUUUUUUUUUUUUUGAGCUAUUACAAAUAAAAUGCUUUCCUUAAUUUUAUCAUCAUUGGUACAUGUGAAAGGUCAUCAUUUUUUAUAUGUUGACUUUGUAUCUUGCAACUUGAGUAAAAGUGUUUAUUAGAUUAAAGAUCCAUUUAUUCCUGGUUUCCCAGGUUUUGGACUAUAAGUUUUCAGCACACUUCCCAAAGAUAAUCUGAAUUUUACUGGAGUUUCUUGUAACAAUGCCCUUUCAUUUUUAGUUUUGUUCAUCUGGCUCUUUCUUUAUAAAAUUAGUGUGACUAAGG